rnacentral:rRNA from 1 species
GACGAACCGUGCGAACGUUGUUCGGAAUCACUGGGCUUAAAGGGCGCGUAGGCGGGCCCGCAAGUCAGGGGUGAAAUCCCACGGCUCAACCGUGGAAGUGCCUUUGAUACUGCGGGUCUCGAGGGAGGUAGGGCGUGCGGAACUUCCGGUGGAGCGGUGAAAUGCGUAGAUAUCGGAAGGAACGACCGGUGGCGAAAGCGGCGCGCGUGG